CUUUCUGAGUAUCAUAGCAAACGAAAGUAGCUUUGGCAAAAUCGGAUACGUUGAUGAAAGAA
rnacentral:sRNA from 12 species